UACGAGGGGUCUAAGCGUUGUUCGGAAUCACUGGGCGUAAAGCGGGUGUAGGUGGCUAAGCAAGUUAGGUGUGAAAUCCCCGGGCUCAACCCGGGAAGUGCAUCUAAAACUACUUAGCUUGAGUACGGGAGAGGGAAGCAGAAUUCCUGGUGUAGUGGUGAAAUACGUAGAUAUCAGGAGGAACACCGGUGGCGAAGGCGGUUUCCUGGCCCAGUACUGACACUCAGACCCGAAAGCGUGGGUAGCAAACAGG
rnacentral:rRNA from 1 species